rnacentral:rRNA from 1 species
UACGAAGGGUGCAAGCGUUACUCGGAAUUACUGGGCGUAAAGCGUGCGUAGGUGGUUCGUUAAGUCUGUCGUGAAAGCCCCGGCUCAACCUGGGAAUGGCGAUGGAUACUGGCGGGCUAGAGUGCGGUAGAGGAGAGUGGAAUUCCCGGUGUAGCAGUGAAAUGCGCAGAUAUCAGGAGGAACACCGGUGGCGAAGGCGGGUCUCUGGGCCGUAACUGACGCUGAGGAGCGAAAGCAUGGGGAGCGAACAGGAUUAGACUACC